AGAGUUGAUUCUGGCUCAGGAUUAACGCUGGCGGCGUGCCUAAUACAUGCAAGUCGAAUGGUAGUAGCAAUACAAACCAUGGCGAACGGGUGAGUAACACGUAGGCAACCCAACUUUAAGACGAGGAUAACCGUUGGAAACGACGGAUAAUACUGGAUAGGACAUCACGAAGGGCAUCCUUAGAUGUUUAAAGGUUACCAUGCCACUUAGAGAGGGGCCUGCGGCGCAUUAGCUAGUUGGUGAGAUAACAGCCCACCAAGGCGAUGAUGCGUAGCCGGACUGAGAGGUUGAACGGCCACAAUGGAACUGAGAACGGUCCAUACUCCUACGGGAGGCAGCAGUAGGGAAUUUUCGGCAAUGGGCGGAAGCCUGACCGAGCAACGCCGCGUGAACGAAGAAGUUAUUCGUAAUGUAAAGUUCUUUUAUCUGGGAAGAAAAACAAAUUGACGGUACCAGAUGAAUAAGCUCCGGCUAACUACGUGCCAGCCGCUGC
rnacentral:rRNA from 1 species